UAGUAAGCAAAAUGUGACUGUUAUGUA
rnacentral:piRNA from 1 species